rnacentral:lncRNA from 1 species
GGUAAGCCAGUGAAAGAGCCAUCAAACUGUUGCCUUCGCGUUUUCUUGUGCUUAUUAAUGUAGUGAACCUCUUCAGUCAGCUGUCAUCUCUGUUUGAUUCUGUAUCCUAUUGGUCUCAUAUGGGACAGAUCGUGAAGAUCAAUGUUAAUGGCUUAUGGCAUCAUGCAAAACUGAAGGCAGUGCAGAUGCUGGUAUUGCUUUCCACAAUUAUAAAGGUGAUUAUGGCUGGUUUAGCAUCUCGCAGUCUUCUAUUAAUCCAUUAAUGCCAAGCAUACGUUGCCCAUGGUGGCCUUGGUCUGGAGAGGAUCAUGGCUUCACAGAGGUGGUUCUUCACUAAGAUGUUCAUCUGCAAAGUCAUGCCAGCCUCUCUUCAUGAACGUCUCUCUAGCCUGGGAAUGGUAAUCAGUAAACACUUUCUCUCUAAAUCAUCUGUCACCCACGGUAAUUUAGAUAAAUUGCAGUAAAGCUUGUGAAUAAAAAUAUAUAUAUAGGG